UAAUUCACCUUCUGGCCUCCCUCCUUUUUACCUAGGUGACUCCUUCGUGAACAAGCCCCAUAGUACAUUGUAUAGAAAGGGACAAACCUCCCUGCUGAAACUAGUGGAAGACGCUGCCCUUUAAAGUUUAUGAAAAGGUGACUCCUUCGUGAACAAGCCCCAUAGUACAUUGUAUAGAAAGGGACAAACCUCCCUGCUGAAACUAGUGGAAGACGCUGCCCUUUAAAGUUUAUGAAAAGGUGACUCCUUCGUGAACAAGCCCCAUAGUACAUUGUAUAGAAAGGGACAAACCUCCCUGCUGAAACUAGUGGAAGACGCUGCCCUUUAAAGUUUAUGAAAAGGUGACUCCUUCGUGAACAAGCCCCAUAGUACAUUGUAUAGAAAGGGACAAACCUCCCUGCUGAAACUAGUGGAAGACGCUGCCCUUUAAAGUUUAUGAAAAGGUGACUCCUUCGUGAACAAGCCCCAUAGUACAUUGUAUAGAAAGGGACAAACCUCCCUGCUGAAACUAGUGGAAGACGCUGCCCUUUAAAGUUUAUGAAAAGGUGACUCCUUCGUGAACAAGCCCCAUAGUACAUUGUAUAGAAAGGGACAAACCUCCCUGCUGAAACUAGUGGAAGACGCUGCCCUUUAAAGUUUAUGAAAAGGUGACUCCUUCGUGAACAAGCCCCAUAGUACAUUGUAUAGAAAGGGACAAACCUCCCUGCUGAAACUAGUGGAAGACGCUGCCCUUUAAAGUUUAUGAAAAGGUGACUCCUUCGUGAACAAGCCCCAUAGUACAUUGUAUAGAAAGGGACAAACCUCCCUGCUGAAACUAGUGGAAGACGCUGCCCUUUAAAGUUUAUGAAAAGGUGACUCCUUCGUGAACAAGCCCCAUAGUACAUUGUAUAGAAAGGGACAAACCUCCCUGCUGAAACUAGUGGAAGACGCUGCCCUUUAAAGUUUAUGAAAAGGUGACUCCUUCGUGAACAAGCCCCAUAGUACAUUGUAUAGAAAGGGACAAACCUCCCUGCUGAAACUAGUGGAAGACGCUGCCCUUUAAAGUUUAUGAAAAGGUGACUCCUUCGUGAACAAGCCCCAUAGUACAUUGUAUAGAAAGGGACAAACCUCCCUGCUGAAACUAGUGGAAGACGCUGCCCUUUAAAGUUUAUGAAAAGGUGACUCCUUCGUGAACAAGCCCCAUAGUACAUUGUAUAGAAAGGGACAAACCUCCCUGCUGAAACUAGUGGAAGACGCUGCCCUUUAAAGUUUAUGAAAAGGUGACUCCUUCGUGAACAAGCCCCAUAGUACAUUGUAUAGAAAGGGACAAACCUCCCUGCUGAAACUAGUGGAAGACGCUGCCCUUUAAAGUUUAUGAAAAGGUGACUCCUUCGUGAACAAGCCCCAUAGUACAUUGUAUAGAAAGGGACAAACCUCCCUGCUGAAACUAGUGGAAGACGCUGCCCUUUAAAGUUUAUGAAAAGGUGACUCCUUCGUGAACAAGCCCCAUAGUACAUUGUAUAGAAAGGGACAAACCUCCCUGCUGAAACUAGUGGAAGACGCUGCCCUUUAAAGUUUAUGAAAAGGUGACUCCUUCGUGAACAAGCCCCAUAGUACAUUGUAUAGAAAGGGACAAACCUCCCUGCUGAAACUAGUGGAAGACGCUGCCCUUUAAAGUUUAUGAAAAGGUGACUCCUUCGUGAACAAGCCCCAUAGUACAUUGUAUAGAAAGGGACAAACCUCCCUGCUGAAACUAGUGGAAGACGCUGCCCUUUAAAGUUUAUGAAAAGGUGACUCCUUCGUGAACAAGCCCCAUAGUACAUUGUAUAGAAAGGGACAAACCUCCCUGCUGAAACUAGUGGAAGACGCUGCCCUUUAAAGUUUAUGAAAAGGUGACUCCUUCGUGAACAAGCCCCAUAGUACAUUGUAUAGAAAGGGACAAACCUCCCUGCUGAAACUAGUGGAAGACGCUGCCCUUUAAAGUUUAUGAAAAGGUGACUCCUUCGUGAACAAGCCCCAUAGUACAUUGUAUAGAAAGGGACAAACCUCCCUGCUGAAACUAGUGGAAGACGCUGCCCUUUAAAGUUUAUGAAAAGGUGACUCCUUCGUGAACAAGCCCCAUAGUACAUUGUAUAGAAAGGGACAAACCUCCCUGCUGAAACUAGUGGAAGACGCUGCCCUUUAAAGUUUAUGAAAAGGUGACUCCUUCGUGAACAAGCCCCAUAGUACAUUGUAUAGAAAGGGACAAACCUCCCUGCUGAAACUAGUGGAAGAC